rnacentral:rRNA from 1 species
CGGAGAGUUUGAUCCUGGCUCAGGACGAACGCUGGCGGCAUGCCUAAUACAUGCAAGUCGAACGAACUUUCCCGAUGAUUGAAGCUUGCUUCAUGAAUCGGAUCUAAGUGAGUGGCGGACGGGUGAGUAACACGUGGGUAACCUGCCCAAAAGUGGGGGAUAACAUUUGGAAACAAGUGCUAAUACCGCAUAACAACUACUUUCACAUGAUCGUAGUUUAAAAGAUGGCUCUGCUAUCGCUUUUGGAUGGACCCGCGGCGUAUUAGCUAGUUGGUGAGGUAAAGGCUCACCAAGGCAAUGAUACGUAGCCGACCUGAGAGGGUAAUCGGCCACAUUGGGACUGAGACACGGCCCAAACUCCUACGGGAGGCAGCAGUAGGGAAUCUUCCACAAUGGGCGAAAGCCUGAUGGAGCAAUGCCGCGUGAGUGAAGAAGGUUUUCGGAUCGUAAAACUCUGUUGUUGAAGAAGAACAUGCGUGAGAGUAACUGUUCACGUACUGACGGUAUUCAACCAGAAAGCCACGGCUAACUACGUGCCAGCAGCCGCGGUAAUACGUAGGUGGCAAGCGUUGUCCGGAUUUAUUGGGCGUAAAGAGAAUGUAGGCGGUUUAUUAAGUUUGAAGUGAAAGCCCUCGGCUCAACCGAGGAAGUGCUUCGAAAACUGGUAAACUUGAGUGCAGAAGAGGAAAGUGGAACUCCAUGUGUAGCGGUGGAAUGCGUAGAUAUAUGGAAGAACACCAGUGGCGAAGGCGGCUUUCUGGUCUGUAACUGACGCUGAGAUUCGAAAGCAUGGGUAGCAAACAGGAUUAGAUACCCUGGUAGUCCAUGCCGUAAACGAUGAGUGCUAAGUAUUGGAG